AGUGAACGCUGGCGGUAGGCCUAACACAUGCAAGUCGAACGGCAGCACAGUAAGAGCUUGCUCUUACGGGUGGCGAGUGGCGGACGGGUGAGGAAUACAUCGGAAUCUACUUUUUCGUGGGGGAUAACGUAGGGAAACUUACGCUAAUACCGCAUACGACCUACGGGUGAAAGCAGGGGAUCUUCGGACCUUGCGCGAUUGAAUGAGCCGAUGUCGGAUUAGCUAGUUGGCGGGGUAAAGGCCCACCAAGGCGACGAUCCGUAGCUGGUCUGAGAGGAUGAUUAGCCACACUGGCACUGAGAAACGGUCCAGACUCCUACGGGAGGCAGCAGUGGGGAAUAUUGGACAAUGGGCGAGAGCCUGAUACAGCAAUACCGCGUGGGUGAAGAAGGCCUUAGGGUUGUAAAGCCCUUUUGUUGGGCAAGAAAGGCAGCAGGUUAAUACCCCGCUGUUCUGACGGUACCCAAAGAAUAAGCACCGGCUAACUUCGUG
rnacentral:rRNA from 1 species